UCACACAAGCGGUGGAGCAUGUGGCUUAAUUCGAAGCAACGCGAAGAACCUUAUCCAAGGCUUGACAUGCACGGAUUAACUCCCUGAAAGGGGAGCCACGCCCUCACGGGUGGAACGUGCACAGGUGCUGCAUGGCUGUCGUCAGCUCGUGCUGUGAAGUGUCGGGUUAAGUCCCUUAACGAGCGAAACCCCUGCCUCUAGUUGCCAUCGGGUCAUGCCGGGCACUCUAGCGGGACUGCCGGUGUCAAACCGGAGGAAGGUGGGGAUGACGUACUGGAAGCAAGCU
rnacentral:misc_RNA from 1 species